rnacentral:rRNA from 1 species
UGCCAGCAGCCGCGGUAAUACGGAGGGGGUUAGCGUUGUUCGGAAUUACUGGGCGUAAAGCGCGCGUAGGCGGAUCGGAAAGUUGGGGGUGAAAUCCCGGGGCUCAACCCCGGAACUGCCUCCAAAACUAUCGGUCUAGAGUUCGAGAGAGGUGAGUGGAAUUCCGAGUGUAGAGGUGAAAUUCGUAGAUAUUCGGAGGAACACCAGUGGCGAAGGCGGCUCACUGGCUCGAUACUGACGCUGAGGUGCGAAAGUGUGGGGAGCAAACAGGAUUAGAAACCCCAGUAGUCC